rnacentral:rRNA from 1 species
CCUACGGGUGGCAGCAGUGAGGAAUAUUGGUCAAUGGGCGCGAGCCUGAACCAGCCAAGUAGCGUGAAGGAUGACGGCCCUACGGGUUGUAAACUUCUUUUAUAAAGGAAUAAAGUGCGGCACGUGUGCCUUUUUGUAUGUACUUUAUGAAUAAGGAUCGGCUAACUCCGUGCCAGCAGCCGCGGUAAUACGGAGGAUCCGAGCGUUAUCCGGUUUUAUUGGGUUUAAAGGGUGCGUAGAUGGGUUGUUAAGUCAGUGGUGAAAGUUUGCGGCUCAACCGUAAAAUUGCAAUUGAUACUGGCGGUCGUGAGUACAGUUGAGGUGGGCGGAAUUCGUGGUGUAGCGGUGAAAUGCUUAGAUAUCACGACGAAC